rnacentral:rRNA from 1 species
UACGUAGGGUGCGAGCGUUGUCCGGAAUUAUUGGGCGUAAAGAGCUCGUAGGCGGUCUGUCGCGUCGGCUUGUGAAAACUCGGGGCUCAACCCCGAGCCUGCAGUCGAUACGGGCAGACUAGAGUCCGGCAGGGGGAGACUGGAAUUCCUGGUGUAGCGGUGAAAUGCGCAGAUAUCAGGAGGAACACCGGUGGCGAAGGCGGGUCUCUGGGCCGAUACUGACGCUGAGGAGCGAAAGCAUGGGUAGCGAACAGG